AGUUAAUCCACUAAGGUAAUUUAUGUUUUGAAAACAUAUAAAAGAGGUUUAGACUCUCUAUUAACUU
rnacentral:tRNA from 1 species